AUGAACGCUGGCGGCGUGCCUAAUACAUGCAAGUCGAGCGAACAGACGAGGAGCUUGCUCCUCUGACGUUAGCGGCGGACGGGUGAGUAACACGUGGAUAACCUACCUAUAAGACUGGGAUAACUUCGGGAAACCGGAGCUAAUACCGGAUAAUAUAUUGAACCGCAUGGUUCAAUAGUGAAAGACGGUUUUGCUGUCACUUAUAGAUGGAUCCGCGCCGCAUUAGCUAGUUGGUAAGGUAACGGCUUACCAAGGCAACGAUGCGUAGCCGACCUGAGAGGGGGACCGGCCACACUGAAACGGGGAAACGUUCCAAACUCUAACGGGAGCCAGCGGUAGGAAACCUUCGGCAUGGGGCGAAAGCCUAACGGGGCAACGCGGCGGGAGUAAGAAGGGUCUUCGGAUCGUAAAACUUGGUUAUAGGGAAGAACAAAUGUGUAAGUAACUAUGCACGUCUUGACGGUACCUAAUCAGAAAGCCACGGCUAACUACGUG
rnacentral:rRNA from 1 species